rnacentral:pre_miRNA from 1 species
CGGCCGUUCAUUGGGUCAUCUAGCUCGUGUUGGAAACAGUUAGCUGCCUAGUGAAGGGCAAUA